UACGAAGGGGGCUAGCGUUGCUCGGAAUCACUGGGCGUAAAGCGCACGUAGGCGGACUCUUAAGUCGGUGGUGAAAUCCUGGAGCUCAACUCCAGAACUGCCUUUGAUACUGGCAAGCUUGGAGUCCGGGAGAGGUGAGUGGAACUGCGAGUGUAGAGGUGAAAUUCGUAGAUAUUCGCAAGAACACCAGUGGCGAAGGCGGCUCACUGGCCCGGUACUGACGCUGAGGUGCGAAAGCGUGGGGAGCAGACAGG
rnacentral:rRNA from 1 species